GGGGAUAUGGUCUAGUGGUAUGAUGCAUCCUUAGCAUGGAUGAGGUCCCGAGUUCAAUUCUUGGUGUCUCCA
rnacentral:tRNA from 1 species